GAAAAAAGAAAAGAAACCAAUCAGAAGAACAUGAUGCUGGAAAAACUCUCUGUUCAAGAGACCAGGAUUAGACAAUAGAACACAACAAAUCUUGACCAGAUGCAUAGAUUUGUACGGGAGGGGCAUAGAUGUUCUGACAUCGUCCUUAGAACCAGUGUUAAAGAAACUUGAUAUAGAGUUGAGUACGGCAAUGACUAAAGCGUUCGACUUGUUUUCGAGUUGUGAAUUUGAGUAUGAGUAUACACCGGAACCUCCGACUUGGUUGUCUCGUUAUCUUUGCUUACGUCCACUUCUGGUGCUCUCAAUGGGGACUGCAAAUCUCAUAGAGUGUAAAAGGGUCGCCGCUUGUAUUCCAUAAUGUCGAAAUAAUGAAAUGUAUUUCAAUUUGUAUUGA